AUAGCUUACUCGGACUUUUGGCUAUGAUCAAGUGUAUUGUCUGUUCUUAUUAGUUUAAUAUCUGAUAUGUGAGCUAAUGACUCACAGGAUAUUUAAUCUACUUUUUGAGGGGAAGGGUCACCAUUGAAGCUUGCUACUGGGACUCUCAAGUGUCGCCCUAACGUUGCACUAUUGCUCCGGUCUGGCGAACUCCAC